CUGGGCGUAAAGAGUACGUAGGCGGUUUGGUAAGUCAGGUGUGAAAUCCCGAAGCUCAACUUCGGAACUGCAUCCGAUACUGCCAGACUUGAGUAAUGGAGAGGCAGGUGGAAUUCUCGGUGUAGCAGUGAAAUGCGUGGAUAUCGAGAGGAAGACCAAUGGCGAAGGCAGCCUGCUGGACAUUUACUGACGCUGAGGUACGAAGGCUAGGGGAGCGAAAGGGAUUAGAUACCCCUGUAGUCCUAGCAGUAAACGGUGCGCGCUUGGUGUAGGAGGACUCGACCCCUUCUGUGCCGGAGCUAACGCGUUAAGCGCGCCGCCUGGGGAGUACGGUCGCAAGACUAAAACUCAAAGAAAUUGACGGGGACCCGCACAAGCGGUGGAGUAUGUGGCUUAAUUCGAUGCAACGCGAAGAACCUUACCAAGGCUUGACAUGUAUUGCUAAGCACGUGAAAGCGUGUGACCCUUCGGGGACCUUACACAGGUGCUGCAUGGCCGUCGUCAGCUCGUGUCGUGAGAUGUUUGGUUAAGUCCAGCAACGAGCGCAACCCCUGUGAAUAGUUGCCAGCACGUAAUGGUGGGGACUCUAUUCAGACUGCCCGGGUCAACCGGGAGGAAGGUGGGGAUGACGUCAGGUCAGUAUGGCCCUUACGCCUUGGGCUGCACACGUACUACAAUGCCCAGAACAAUGAGAACCGAUCCCGCGAGG
rnacentral:rRNA from 1 species